CACAGAAUCCCCUAGAAGGGUUAGGUACAUAGGAUAUGGAUAGUCUUUUUCAAUGCGAUAAAAUAAAGCGACAUCGUGUCUAUUUUUCUUUGCUAAAGGGGUAUUUCCAUGGGUUUGCCUUGGUAUCGUGUUCAUACUGUCGUAUUGAAUGAUCCGGGUCGAUUGCUUGCGGUGCAUAUAAUGCACACAGCUCUAGUUUCUGGUUGGGCUGGCUCAAUGGCUUUAUACGAAUUAGCAGUUUUUGAUCCCUCUGAUCCUGUUCUGGAUCCAAUGUGGAGACAAGGUAUGUUCGUAAUUCCCUUCAUGACUCGUUUAGGAAUAACGGAUUCGUGGGGUGGUUGGAGUAUUUCAGGAGGAACUGUAACAAAUCCGGGUAUUUGGAGUUAUGAAGGUGUGGCAGGUACGCAUAUUGUGUUUUCUGGCUUGUGUUUCUUGGCAGCGAUCUGGCAUUGGGUAUAUUGGGACCUAGAAAUAUUCUCUGAUGAGCGGACGGGAAAACCCUCUUUGGAUUUGCCCAAGAUCUUUGGAAUUCAUUUAUUUCUUGCAGGGGUGGCUUGCUUUGGCUUUGGGGCAUUUCAUGUAACGGGUUUGUAUGGUCCUGGGAUAUGGGUAUCCGAUCCUUAUGGACUAACUGGAAAAGUACAAGCUGUAAAUCCAGCAUGGGGUGCAGAAGGUUUUGAUCCUUUUGUUCCGGGGGGAAUAGCUUCUCAUCAUAUUGCUGCGGGUACAUUGGGUAUAUUAGCGGGCUUAUUCCAUCUUAGUGUCCAUCCGCCUCAACGUCUAUAUAAAGGAUUACGUAUGGGCAAUAUUGAAACUGUACUUUCCAGUAGUAUCGCUGCUGUUUUUUUUUGCAGCUUUCGUAGUUGCUGGAACUAUGUGGUAUGGGUCAGCAACGACCCCAAUCGAAUUAUUUGGGCCUACUCGUUAUCAGUGGGAUCAGGGAUACUUUCAGCAAGAAAUAUAUCGAAGAGUUAGCAAUGGUUUAGCCGAAAAUCUUAGUUUAUCAGAAGCUUGGUCUAAAAUUCCCAAAAAAUUAGCCUUUUAUGAUUAUAUUGGUAAUAAUCCGGCAAAAGGGGGAUUAUUCAGAGCAAGAUCAAUGGACAAUGGGGAUGGAAUAACUGUUGGAUGGUUAGGACAUCCCGUCUUUAGAGAUAAAGAAGGACAUGAGCUUUUUGUACGUCGUAUGCCUACUUUUUUUUGA
rnacentral:rRNA from 1 species